GUGCACAUUUCAUUGACCUGCUUUCUCGUAUACGUAAGCAGUGUUAUUUCUUAUAUGCUAUACAAAUAAUUGAAGGCUAAUUAGCCGUAAAACUAUAAGUAAUGCUGCCAGUCUCCUUCUCACAAUU